rnacentral:snRNA from 1 species
AUCGCUUCUCGGCAUUUCGGCUAAAAUCGAAGUUUAGUCUCUGUUCUUAUCGAAUUAACCUUCAUCAGAGAUUCGAAUGAAUCUUCUCAAAGUUAUUUGAUGUUUGGAACCGCGUGAGAUUAUUCCGUUCUCGGAAUAUAAUGAUGCACAAUGUUCAGCGAACAUGUUGUAGCCUCC